GGACGAUUAGCUCAGUUGGUUAGAGCGUGCGACUCACAUUCGCAAGGUCAGUGGUUCGACUCCACUAUCGUCCACCA
rnacentral:tRNA from 2 species